AGCGAACGCUGGCGGCAGGCUUAACACAUGCAAGUCGAGCGCCGUAGCAAUACGGAGCGGCAGACGGGUGAGUAACACGUGGGAACGUACCUUUUGGUUCGGAACAACACAGGGAAACUUGUGCUAAUACCGGAUAAGCCCUUACGGGGAAAGGAUUUAUCGCCGAAGAUCGGCCCGCGUCUGAUUAGCUAGUUGGUGAGGUAACGGCUCACCAAGGCGACGAUCAGUAGCUGGUCUGAGAGGAUGAUCAGCCACACUGGGACUGAGACACGGCCCAGACUCCUACCGGGAGGCAGCAGUGGGGAAGUAUUGGACAAUGGGCGCAAGCCUGAUCCAGCCAUGCCGCCGUGAGUGAUGAAGGCCCCUAGGGUUGUAAAGCUCUUUUGUGCGGGAAGAUAAUGACUGUACCGCAAGAAUAAGCCCCGGCUAACUUCGUGCCAGCAGCCGCUGUAAG
rnacentral:rRNA from 1 species